GUACUUAGUGGCAAACGAUCAACACUUUUUUUUUUUGUGCCACAGGUGCAACUUUGAAUCCCGAAACAAACAAAUACGCUCAUCCACUGUCCGGUUCGUUUGUUCAGAAUAUGUUCCUAUUGCACGUUGGUGUUACCGAAUUCAGAAAACCCGCUGAUUGCUAAAAAUGUGGAAGAUUCCCAGUUCGUUUAUAACUGCACAUGUCUACUUAGCAGUAAUGACGCAUAAAAAAAAAUUAUAUACUCUUUAUAGAGCAUAUAAUCCCAUCUAUAUAUCUGCCAGACAAAUUAAUAGCACAUAUGUUGACACUGCAUUAUGCAGUGAUGAAGUAAUGAAAACCAAAC